rnacentral:rRNA from 1 species
GGCUUGUUGAUAAUAAUUUUAGGUYUGGUCUGCCCAAUGAGAGUUAUUAAAUGGCCGCGGUAUAUUGACCGUGCAAAGGUAGCAUAAUCAUUAGUUUUUUAAUUAGAAGCUGGAAUGAAGGGCUUGAUGAGAAAGGUUCUGUCUCUAGAAUAAUUUAUUAGAAUUUUAUUUUUAGGUUAAAAAGCUUAAAUUUAAAUGGAAGACGAGAAGACCCUAUAGAGUUUUAUAUUUGGAUUAGGGAAGUAUUUUAAGGUAAAUAUGGAAAAAUUUCUAUACUAAGUAUUUUGUUGGGGUGAUAGGAAAAUUAAUUUAACUUUUUUUUUGUAUUUUACAUUUAUUUAUGGAUGAAUGAUCCUUUUUGAGAUUGGAAGAUUAAAUUACCUUAGGGAUAACAGCGUAAUUUUUUUUAGAGUUCUUAUCGAAAAAAGGGAUUGCGACCUCGAUGUUGGAUUAAAAUAAAUUAUAGGUGAAGAAGCUUAUUAAUUAGGUCUGUUCGACCUUUAAAUUUUUACAUGAUCUGAGUUUAAACCGGUGUGAG